ensembl:lncRNA
AGAGUAGAAUGAUUGUAAAUUUUUACAUAUGAUAAUGGUAUGAUAGCUAAGGUUUUUAUUUUUAGAGAUGCUUGCAGAAAUAUUCAUGGAUGCGGCCAAGUGCGGUGGCUCAUGCCUGUAAUCCCAGCACUUUGGGAGGCUGAGGUGGGCGGAUUACGAGGUCAGGAGAACCAGACCAUCCUGGCUAACAUGGUGAAACCCGGUCUCUACUAAAAAUAAAAAAUAAAAAUAAAUUUUAAAAAAAUAACAGGGCAUGGUGGCGGGCGCCUGUAGUCCCAGCUACUCGGGAGGCUGAGGCAGGAGAAUGACGUGAACCUGGGAGGUGGAGCUUGCAGUGAGCGAAGAUCGUGCCACUGCACUCCAGCCUGGGCAACAGAGUGAGACUCUGUGAAAGACAGAGAGAAAGAAGGAAGGAAGGAAGGAAGGAAGGAAGGAAGGAAGGAAGGAAGGAAGGUAGGAAGGAAGGAAGGAGGGAGGGAGGGAGGGAGGGAGGGAGGGAAGGAAGGAAGGAAAGGAAGGAAGGAAAGGAGGGAGGGAGGCAGGGAGGGAGGGAAGGAAGGAAAAGAAAGAAAGAAAUAUUCAUACGAUGUCUAGGAUUUGCCUCCAUAAAACCCAAUGAGGUUGGGGGUUGGGAAACAAAAGAAAAUAUGGAUGAGGAUGAAACGAGAUUGGCUUAGAGUUGGUAGGUGUUGAAGUUGAGCAGUGAGCGCCUGAGGACUUCUUAGGCUAUGUCUCUACUUCUGUGUAUGUUUCAAAAUUUCCCAAACGAAACAUUUUCUAAAUUGUCCAGUGUAGAAGGCUCAAGCCUUCGGCAUCUUCCCCCAUCCCCACCGAAGUCCCCAGUCCUCCCCUGGUAACAUUCUGGGCAGCUUUCCUCCUUGCUUCCCCAGCACCUCCUGGGCUAUUUCAGACUCCGUGCCAGCGGAGCACCACACUGCCUCAGCCCCCGCAGUUGGCACUUGGACAAAAAUCUUUUCCUGACCCCAGAUGGCAUUGCAGCUUCCUCAGUCCGAUCCUGUAAGCAUAUUUUUUUCCAGGCACCUGAUUCCUGGAUGUGGCAGCAAUAAAACCAACCGAGAUUGUUUGACUGGCCCCCUCUGGAGCAGGUAUUUCCCAUUCCGAUGCCGUCAGCCAUCUGAGCGUGCUGCUUCCAAGAGCUCGGAAAUAACAGCCGGGUGCAGUUUCCAGGAACCUGCUGAUGACGAUGAUGACGGUAAGUGAGGACUUACUGUAUACAUGUUUGAAGUUUAUGUAGCUCCUGGAAUCUCCUAGCAUACCAUCAGUGAUACAAUAUAUCACGUCUGGUAAUUGUUGAAUAGUCUCCAAAGUCCCUUCCAGUUCCAAAGAAUCUGUAUUUUCAUGAAAUAAGCUUUGAAUGAUAUCGCCAAGGCCCCAAAGAAAUCAAGCAGGAGGACUAGAGGAACAUCGAGCGAUGGACUCCAAGAUGUAUAAUAGAUGUCCUUUGCUUCUCCGGUCCACCCUUUUUGUUUGUUUCCUAGAAACUCUGUGCAGAGAAGGCUCCAGAUUGCUGAAAGCACAGUCUAAGACAUCCAAAGAUCACACUUGCAGUUCCAAAAUAGAUUUAUAAACAGUCCAUCCAAACUAAAUGUAAAACCAUAACCAAAACAGGUGAGGAAAUCUGGAGAGCUCAAUUUGGUUAAUAUGUGGGUUUGGCGGCAACAUUCAUCACUACCAGAUUACACACCACUGCGUGUUCUCCCUACCACCUAAUGGUACUAAUCCUGGACUCUAUUUGAUGUUGAUAUUCAACUAAUUAAGAGUUUAUAUUUUACUCUUCCUUCAUGGAGCAGAAAUGUCAUCCUUACCUUCAGAGGGGUGCUCCGUGGGCCUUUC